AAGAGGGAAACAACACAGGCAUCUACACUAACCCUUCAGUCUGUGGGGUCACCCACUCAACCUGGUGAGCUAUAGUGGAGCUUUCUGUACAUUACUGCGGCGGCGCAGAUAUAAAAGCCAGACAUAACUGGAUAACUGGGUGACAUCAGCCCUUAAACUUGUGAUAUUGCGCCGGCUUUCUCUGCCUCUGCCGACAAAUGCAAGAGAAUACAUUCAGAAUGGAAAUUAGCUGCUUGAUGUGCAGUUUUAUGUGCCGUGAAAUAGGGUUUUCCAGGUGUUAUUUCUCCCCACAUUCACCAUAAUUUACUCAAGGACUGUCACACAAUGCAAACCAUUUUUAUUUUCUGCUCGCGAUGACUCUGCCAGUUAGGGAGGCAUGUAUGACACAGACCAAACAAUUUUCUUUUUUUUCUUUUUUUUCCCAACAGAAAAGAUCUUGGCAGCAUCAUCUCGAAUGACGGGGUCUCUGAUCGGGAUGUCGACGCCAGAGUAGGGAAGGCAGUUGGUGUCCUGCGACGUCUCCAACCUAUUUGGAACUUGACUUCCCUGAAUGUGAGGGUCAAGAUCAGACUACUGAACUCUAUCGUCUUCCCUACUGCACUUUACGCUAGUGAAACCUGGCGCUCAACAAGUGCAACUAUUCAACACCUGAACGUGCUUCAACAACGUGGCUUGCGGCGAAUCCUGAGAAUUUCCUACCGGGACCGAAUAACAAAUGAGGAGGUCCUACGAAGAGCAGGCACCCGCCCAUUAGCCGAUGUUGUUGCAGAAAGACGCUUUCGCUUUGCGGGACAUAUUUUACGCCUACCCCCUCAUCGCCCAGCUAAGAUUGCCAUGACAUGGCGUCCACGAACUGGCAAGCGAAAGCAAGGCCGACCAAAGACCACAUGGCGUCGAACAUUUAUGGACGACCUGAGAACUGUCGACAUUGCCUGGGACGAAGCUGAAGCAGUCGCUGCUGACCGACAUCGAUGGAGAUCACUAGCUUCCCGAUGCGCCGCUCGGCGUAGGAGGAACUAAUACCUAAAAUAAAUCCAACAGAAAAGGCACCUUACCAUCAAACAUCACCCCGAGCCUGUCAAAACAGA
ensembl:lncRNA